GACCGAAAGGCCAGCCUUUACCAGUUUGAUCCUUCCAAAAUGUGCUUCAUUUGCAGAGAUAGCUGGUGAAGAGCCAAGGAUAGAUAGAUAACAGCUAUACUUGCAGCACUAAUGGCUUCAGCCAAUGAACCUUUUGAAGUGAUUGAUCACUGCAGAAAGCUAAGGUGCUUGAUAAAGCAAGCUGCCAUUAAUGGCUGUCCUUUGAUGGAUCCAAGAUGAAGCUAGUUAGAAAUCUGAAAGCCUCAAAGUUUCACAGGUAGACAAAUAGGUUAUUAUUACUCGACAGCAUAUUUUGCUUCCUCCUGCUUCAGCUUCAUGCUCUCGUAUCAUUAUAUGUCUCUCUGCUGCCUAGAAAAAUAAUUACAGUGGAUCAGUCAAUAUUCUGUGAGGCAUACAAGUCUUGGAUUCUUUUGCUCAGUGAAGGACAAGUGUGGAUUCUAGUGCUGCAAUUGAUUGCUUGGUCCCUGGAACCCAUGUCUAUUAAAUAAUUUGGUAAAAAUAUAAUGGAACACAAAAAAGAC